rfam:Oleiphilus sp. HI0065 HI0065_c1644, whole genome shotgun sequence.
GGGGCCAUAGCUCAGCUGGGAGAGCGCAACGCUGGCAGCGUUGAGGUCGACGGUUCGAUCCCGUCUGGCUCCA